rnacentral:rRNA from 1 species
UACGUAGGGUGCAAGCGUUUAAUCGGAAUUACUGGGCGUAAAGCGUGCGCAGGCGGUUAUGCAAGACAGAUGUGAAAUCCCCGGGCUCAACCUGGGAACUGCAUUUGUGACUGCAUGGCUAGAGUGCGGCAGAGGGGGAUGGAAUUCCGCGUGUAGCAGUGAAAUGCGUAGAUAUGCGGAGGAACACCGAUGGCGAAGGCAAUCCCCUGGGCCUGCACUAACGCUCAUGCACGAAAGCGUGGGGAGCAAACAGG